rnacentral:rRNA from 1 species
UAGGGAAUCUUCCGCAAUGGACGCAAGUCUGACGGAGCAACGCCGCGUGAGUGAAGAAGGAUUUCGGUUCGUAAAACUCUGUUGUUAGAGAAGAACAGCGCAUAGAGUAACUGUUAUGCGUGUGACGGUAUCUAACCAGAAAGCCACGGCUAACUACGUGCCAGCAGCCGCGGUAAUACGUAGGUGGCAAGCGUUGUCCGGAUUUAUUGGGCGUAAAGCGAGCGCAGGCGGUCAAUUAAGUCUGAUGUGAAAGCCCCCGGCUCAACCGGGGAGGGUCAUUGGCAACUGGUUGGCUUGAGUGCAGAAGAGGAAAGUGGAAUUCCAUGUGUAGCGGUGAAAUGCGUAGAUCUAUGGAGGAACACCAGUGGCGAAGGCGACUCUCUGGUCUGUAACUGACGCUGAGGCUCGAAAGCGUGGGUAGCAAACAGG